CUAGCUGUAAACGAUGGAUACUAGGCGUUGAGAGUAUCGACCCUCUCAGUGUCGUAGCUAACGCGUUAAGUAUCCCGCCUGGGGAGUACGCGCGCAAGCGUGAAACUCAAAGGAAUUGACGGGGGCCCGCACAAGCGGUGGAGCAUGUGGUUUAAUUCGAUGCAACGCGAAGAACCUUACCAGGGCUUGACAUGUCCGGAACCCUGCCCAAAGGCGGGGGUGCCUACGGGAACCGGAACACAGGUGGUGC
rnacentral:rRNA from 1 species